rnacentral:sRNA from 1 species
UACGGAGGGUGCGAGCGUUGUCCGGAAUCACUGGGCGUAAAGGGCGCGUAGGCGGCUCGGUAAGCGUGUGGUGAAAGCUCGGGGCUCAACCCCGAGUCGGCCGUGCGAACUGUCGAGCUUGAGCACUGUAGAGGCAGGUGGAAUUCCGGGUGUAGCGGUGGAAUGCGUAGAGAUCCGGAAGAACACCGGUGGCGAAGGCGGCCUGCUGGGCAGUUGCUGACGCUGAGGCGCGACAGCGUGGGGAGCAAACAGG